CCCGCGCCCAAACCCAAGAGCCGCCGUUUGCGGUAACGGCGGCUCAAGCAGCGGCGCGGACAGCACGCGAGCCUCGUCGCCUUUGGGGGGCUGUGCCGUGCCCCCCGGAGUGAAUGUGGAGGUUCGACAGGC
rnacentral:snoRNA from 15 species